UAAGUUAAUAAGGGCGCACGGUGGAUGCCUUGGCACUAGGAGCCGACGAAGGACGUGACAAACGACGAUAUGCCUUGGGUAGCUGUAAGUAAGCGAUGAUCCAGGGAUUUCCGAAUGGGGGAACCCAACAGGUAAUACCUGUUACCUACAUCUGUUAAGGAUGUGAGGAGGAAGACGCAGUGAACUGAAACAUCUAAGUAGCUGCAGGAAGAGAAAGCAAAAGCGAUUGCCUUAGUAGCGGCGAGCGAAACGGCAGAAGGGCAAACCGAAGAGUUUACUCUUCGGGGUUGUAGGACUGCAAUGUGGACUCAAAGAUUAUAGAAGAAUGAUUUGGGAAGAUCAGCCAAAGAGAGUAAUAGCCUCGUAUUUAAAAUAGUCUUUGUACUUAGCAGUAUCCUGAGUACGGCGGGACACGUGAAAUCCCGUCGGAAUCUGGGAGGACCAUCUCCCAACCCUAAAUACUCCCUAGUGACCGAUAGUGAACCAGUACCGUGAGGGAAAGGUGAAAAGCACCCCGGGAGGGGAGUGAAAUAGAACCUGAAACCGUGUGCCUACAACAAGUUCGAGCCCGUUAAUGGGUGAGAGCGUGCCUUUUGUAGAAUGAACCGGCGAGUUACGUUAUGAUGCGAGGUUAAGUUGAAGAGACGGAGCCGUAGGGAAACCGAGUCUGAAUAGGGCGCCUUAGUAUCAUGACGUAGACCCGAAACCAUGUGACCUACCCAUGAGCAGGUUGAAGGUGCGGUAAGACGCACUGGAGGACCGAACCAGGGCACGUUGAAAAGUGCUUGGAUGACUUGUGGGUAGCGGAGAAAUUCCAAACGAACUUGGAGAUAGCUGGUUCUCUCCGAAAUAGCUUUAGGGCUAGCGUCGACAUUAGAGAUUCUUGGAGGUAGAGCACUGUUUGGGUGAGGGGUCCAUCCCGGAUUACCAAUCUCAGAUAAACUCCGAAUGCCAAUGAAUUAUGGUCGGCAGUCAGACUGCGAGUGCUAAGAUCCGUAGUCGAAAGGGAAACAGCCCAGACCACCAGCUAAGGUCCCAAAAUAAUUGUUAAGUGGAAAAGGAUGUGGGGUUGCACAGACAACUAGGAUGUUAGCUUAGAAGCAGCUAUUCAUUCAAAGAGUGCGUAAUAGCUCACUAGUCGAGUGACCCUGCGCCGAAAAUGUACCGGGGCUAAAACAAUUUACCGAAGCUGUGGAUACCUUUAUAGGUAUGGUAGGAGAGCGUUCUAUGUGUGAUGAAGGUAUACCGUGAGGAGUGCUGGAACGCAUAGAAGUGAGAAUGCCGGUAUGAGUAGCGAAAGACAGGUGAGAACUGUCCACCGUAAGACUAAGGUUUCCAGGGGAAGGCUCGUCCGCCCUGGGUUAGUCGGGACCUAAGGAGAGACCGAAAGGUGUAUCCGAUGGACAACAGGUUGAUAUUCCUGUACUAGAGUAUGUAGUGAUGGAGGGACGCAGUAGGCUAACUAAAGCAGACGAUUGGAAGAGUCUGUCUAAGCAGUGAGGUGUGAAUUGAGUCAAAUGCUUAAUUCUAUAACAUUGAGCUGUGAUGGGGAGCGAAGUUUAGUAGCGAAGUUAGUGACGUCACACUGCCAAGAAAAGCUUCUAGCGUUUAAACAUACUCUACCCGUACCGCAAACCGACACAGGUAGUCGAGGCGAGUAGCCUCAGGUGAGCGAGAGAACUCUCGUUAAGGAACUCGGCAAAAUGACCCCGUAACUUCGGGAGAAGGGGUGCUGACUUAAAGUCAGCCGCAGUGAAUAGGCCCAAGCAACUGUUUAUCAGAAACACAGCUCUCUGCUAAAUCGUAAGAUGAUGUAUAGGGGGUGACGCCUGCCCGGUGCUGGAAGGUUAAGAGGAGUGCUUAGCGUAAGCGAAGGUAUGAAUUGAAGCCCCAGUAAACGGCGGCCGUAACUAUAACGGUCCUAAGGUAGCGAAAUUCCUUGUCGGGUAAGUUCCGACCCGCACGAAAGGCGUAAUGAUUUGGGCACUGUCUCAACGAGAGACUCGGUGAAAUUUUAGUACCUGUGAAGAUGCAGGUUACCCGCGACAGGACGGAAAGACCCCAUGGAGCUUUACUGCAGUUUGAUAUUGAGUGUCUGUACCACAUGUACAGGAUAGGUAGGAGUCUAAGAGAUCGGGACGCCAGUUUCGAAGGAGACGCUGUUGGGAUACUACCCUUGUGUUAUGGCCACUCUAACCCAGAUAGGUGAUCCCUAUCGGAGACAGUGUCUGACGGGCAGUUUGACUGGGGCGGUCGCCUCCUAAAAGGUAACGGAGGCGCCCAAAGGUUCCCUCAGAAUGGUUGGAAAUCAUUCGCAGAGUGUAAAGGUAUAAGGGAGCUUGACUGCGAGAGCUACAACUCGAGCAGGGACGAAAGUCGGGCUUAGUGAUCCGGUGGUUCCGUAUGGAAGGGCCAUCGCUCAACGGAUAAAAGCUACCCUGGGGAUAACAGGCUUAUCUCCCCCAAGAGUUCACAUCGACGGGGAGGUUUGGCACCUCGAUGUCGGCUCGUCGCAUCCUGGGGCUGUAGUCGGUCCCAAGGGUUGGGCUGUUCGCCCAUUAAAGCGGCACGCGAGCUGGGUUCAGAACGUCGUGAGACAGUUCGGUCCCUAUCCGUCGCGGGCGUAGGAAAUUUGAGAGGAUCUGCUCCUAGUACGAGAGGACCAGAGUGGACUUACCGCUGGUGUACCAGUUGUCUUGCCAAAGGCAUCGCUGGGUAGCUAUGUAGGGAAGGGAUAAACGCUGAAAGCAUCUAAGUGUGAAACCCACCUCAAGAUGAGAUUUCCCAUGAUUAUAUAUCAGUAAGAGCCCUGAGAGAUGAUCAGGUAGAUAGGUUAGAAGUGGAAGUGUGGCGACACAUGUAGCGGACUAAUACUAAUAGCUCGAGGACUUAUCCA
rnacentral:rRNA from 1 species